rnacentral:lncRNA from 1 species
GUCUAACCCUGGCCUGGAGCACUGGAGGAUGAGGUCCGCUGACUGCAGCGUCCAUCCUGGUCCUCCCCAGGCACUGUGGCCUCCCUCACAGCAUGGCUGCCUUGGGUACUCGGACUUCACGUGGAAGGCCAGGGCUCCGAGAGCAAAUGCCCCAGCAAGACAGAAGCUCAGCCGCCUUUGAUGACCUAGAAGCUAGGCAGCAUCCAUUGUACUGCCUUCUAUGGGUUGUGAGUGAGUCCCAAACCUGCCUUGACUCAAGGAAACGGAAUUAGGCUCUACGUCUUGACUAGGUAGUGGCGAAGUUCUGGAAGCACAUGAGUAGGAGAUACUGUGACGGUUUCAUCUUUGGAAAAUACCAUCUAGCACACCUGAAUCUGCUUUCAGGGGGUGUAAGGGGAUUUCCAUGGCAAAAUUUGAAGCCACAUGUGGUCACUGCUUUGUACUGAGGAAACAAAGUGCUCUGGGCAUCCAGAAAGGGGGUACGUUUUUUCUUACUGGGAUAAAUCUGGCUGCAUUUUAGCUAAUCCUGGAAAAUUGAUCGACAAAAGCAAAGGACCAAGAAAGCUGCUUAUAUCAGUGUCUCCUCCACCCUCAGCCUCCAGUAGCAUCCCUACGUUUUACAAUUUUAUUUAUGUCACUUUAAAUAAGGCCCUGAAAGCAGCAGAUCUCACCUGCAUUGGAGGAUGAGACGCCACAUGAAGAAGAAAGAAGACGCCACAGACAGCAGCGCAGUACCACCUUCCAGAGAUGUGAGUGUGACCGUCUUUGACCUUCUAGCCCAGCUGCUUUCCCUGAAUGCAAUGCAUGAGCAGGCCAGGCAAAACUAGAGAGGGAAGCUGCCCAGCUAACCCACAGAAUUAUGAGAGAUAAAAAAUCAUUGUCUUAAGCCACUAAGUCUGUUAUGCAGCAAUAUAUAGCAUUCAUUCAACUUUUGUCUCAUGAAUACUCUCAUUUCUUUUAUAAGUUCUUUUGUGGUUCAAAUUAGCUCAAAUCAGUUUCUGAUGCUUAUGACCAAAUGCCCCUAUGUGAUAGAUUUUGAGGGGUUAAGAAGCUUGCUCGGAUCACACAGCGGUAAGUAGCAGCACUUCAUCUUUAACCCACCUCUGGCCCACUCCCUUUCCAUAGGUCCUUGUUGCCUCCCUCCCUAAUCCCUUCCAGUCUAGUUUCCUCACUCAUUUUAGCAUCUUGAAGAUGCCUGACCUUUUGUAACAGGCACUUAGAAGAGGCAAUAAUCAAGCUGUGAGCUGGAAUACUGGGUUUCUCAUCCAAUAACCAGGUUGGCAGGUUGGUAACCAUACAAGGGACUUUUCAAACUGGAGAAUUAGUGUGCUGAGCACAAAGUGGUGAGUAUUUUGAGAGUUACUGAAAUAUAAUUGACAUAACAAUAAAAAUACAAUAUUUAAGUGCAUGUAUUUCAAGUGUACGAUUUGACAAGUUUGGUUAUAUUAUAUACACCUACGAAACCAUCACCACAAUUAAGAAAAUGAGCAUAGCUAUCACACACAAAAGUUUCCUUGUGCCCCUUGGUAAUUCCUCCCUCUCUCCUGCCCACAUCUCUCCUUUUCCCAGGCAAUCCCUGAUCUGAUUUCUGCCGCUAUCAAUUCGUUUGCAUUUCCUAGAAUUUUAAAUAACUGAAAACAUACAUUAAGAACUCUUUUUCUCUGGCCGAGUAUGGUGGCUCACGCCUGUAAUCCCAGCACUUUGGGUGGCCAAGGCGGGCAGAUCACCUGAGGUCAGGAGUUCGAGACCACCCUGGCCAACGUGGUGAAACCCUGUCUCUACUAAACAUACAAAAAUUAGCCAGGCAUGGUAAUGGGCAUCUGUAAUCCCAGCUACUCGCGAGGCUGAGGCAGGAGAAUUGCUUGAACCUGGGAGACAGAGGUUGCAGUGGGCUGAGAUCACGCCACUGCACUCCAGCAUGGACAACAGAGCGAGACUCCGUCCCCAAAAAAGAAAAAAAAAAAGAACUUUUUUUUCUCCAGCUUCUCCCACUUAGCAUAAUUAUGUUGAGAUUCAGCCAUGUUUUCCUGUGGAUCAAUAAUUUAUUUCUUUAUAUUGCCAAGUGGUAUUCCAUCGUAUGUAUAUACCAUAGUUUGUUUAUCCAUUCAACCACUGAAAGACAUUAGGGUUGUUUUCUGUUUUGGGUUAAUAAAACAAAGCUUCUGUGAACAUUUAUCUACAAGUCUUUGUGUGGAUAUAAGUUUCCAUUUCUCUUAGGUAAAUAUCUAGGGUCAUAAAAUAAGUAUAUACCUAAAUUUUGAAGAAACUACCAAACUAUUUUACAAAAUGGUUGUAUUAUUUUACCUUUUUGCCAGCCAUAUAUGAGAGUGUCAAUUCCUUCACAUUCUUGUCAAAACUUGAUGUGUUCAGUCUUUUUAAUUUUGACCAUUCUAAAAGCAUGUAAUGGGGCCGGGCACAGUGGCUCACACCUGUAAUCCCAGCACUUUGGGAGGCCGAGGCGGGCAGAUCACGAGGUCAGGAGAUCGAGACCAUCCUGGCUAACAUGGUGAAUAAUACUAAAAAUACAAAAAAUUAGCCGGGCAUGGUGGUGGAUGCCUGUAGUCCCAGGUACUCAGGCGGCUGAGGCAGGAGAAUGGCCUGAACCCAGGAGGCAGAGCUUGCAGUGAGCUGAGAUUGCGACACUGCACUCCAGCCUAGGUGACAGAGCGAGACUCUAUCUAAAAAAACAAAACAAAAAUGAAAAAAAAAAACACACAAAAACAUGUAAUGGUAUCCCAUUGUGGUUUUAACUCACAUUACUGUCAGAGGCAUUGGAACCAGAGUGACUCCAUCUUGAGCAGAGGCUAGAUAAAAUAAAGCUGAGACCUUCUGGGCUGCAUUCCCAGGAGGUUAGGCAUUCUUAGUCACAAGAUGAGAUAGGAAGUUGGCACAAGUUACAGGUCACAAAGACCUUGCUGAUAAAACUGGAUGCAGUAAAGAAGCUGGCCAAAACCCACCAAAACUAAGAUAGUGAUGAAAGUGACCUCUGGUUGUCCUUACUGCUCAUUAUAUGCUAAUUAUAAUGCAUUAGCAUGCUAAAAGACACUCCCACCAGUGCCAUAACAGUUUACCAGUGCCAUGGCAACAUCAGGAAGUUACCCUAUAUGGCCUGAAAAGGGGAGGAACCCUCAGUUCCAGGAAUUGCCCACCUCUUUCCUAGAAAACUCAUGAAUAAGUCACCCCUUGUUUAGCAUAAAAUCAAGAAGUAACAAUAAGUAUAAGCAGCUGAGCGGCCCAUGCUGCUGCUCUGUCUAUGGAGCAGCCAUUCCUUUAUUCCUUCACUUUCUUUGUUUUUUGUUUUUUGUUUUGUUUUUUUGUUUGUUUUGAGACAGAGUCUCACUGUGACACCUAGUUUGGACUGCAAUGGCGCGAUCUUGGCUCACUGAAACCUCCGCUUCCCAGGUUCAAACGAUUCUCCUGCCUCAGCCUUCCGAGUAGCUGGGACUACAGGUGUGCACCACCAUGCCUGGCUAAUUUUUGUAGUUUUAGUAGAAAUGAGGUUUCGCCAUAUUGGCCAGGCUGUUCUUGAACUCCUGACCUUAAGUGAUCUGCCUGCUUUGGCCUCCCAAUGUGCUGGGAUUACAGGCUUCAACCACUGAGCCUGGCCUACUCCUUUGCUAUCUUAAUAAACUUGGUUUCAGCUUACUUUAUGGACUCGCCCUAAAUUCUUUCUUGUGCAAGGUCCAAGAACCUUCUCUUGGGGUCUGCAUCAGGACCCCUUUCUGCCCUUUCUGGUAACAGUACCAUAAUAACAAAUAUUAUCGAGCAUAUUUUCAUGUAAUUAUUUGCAACUUGUAUAUCUUCUUUGGUAGAGUGUCUGUUAGAAUAUUUUGUCUAUCUAAAAAUUGGGUUUGUUUUCUUAUUAUUGAAUUUUGAGAGUGUGUUAUAUGUUCUGGACACAAGCCCUUUAUCAGAGAUAUGGUUUGCAAAUAUUUUCUUCUAGUCUGUGACUUUUCUCUCUUAACAAUGUCUUUUGAAGAGCAGGUGUUUUAAAUUUUGAUGAAGUCAGAUGUAUCAAUUUAUGAUUUUAAUAAAUCAUGCUUUUAGCAUAGUAUUUAAGAUACUUAACCCAAGGUCACAAGAGUUUUCUUUUAGAAGUUUUAGUUUUAGGUUUUGCAUUUAGGUAUAUGAUCCAUUUUGAGUUAGUUUAUAUACAUUGUGCAAGGUAAGGACUGAGGUUUUUAAUUUUUGCAUAUAGAUUACCACUUGUGCCAACCUCACUGUUGUGAUGAUAUGAUAGAAAUCACUGUCUUUUCUCCACUGACUUGCUUUUGCAUCUUUGUAAAAAGUUGGUCAUGCCAAUGAAACUGACCCAAUUUUCCCAUAGAACUGAUGGGAAAAACUGUUUACAGUUUUGUUGUUGUUUUUUGUUUUUGUUUUUGUUUUUAAUGAACAUUGAAGUGGACUCUCCAGGUUUUAAAGCUUGAGAAACUUACAUUUGUCUUAUCUGAGUUUAUUUCUCAGGAAACCAGCUGUCAGGCCUCCCAGAUAGUAUCAGAAAGCUGAAGAUUUCCAGAUCGCUGCAUCCUAACAGCAAGGUGCCAGAACCCUGAUUCAACUACCUACUGCCUGUUGAGCAACUCCUACAUAAACUCCUAACUUUAUUGGUUACAGAGACAGAUUUUAGACUUGUCUCCCAUAUCCUGGCUGGCAUCACCAGCAAUAAAGCCUUUCUUCCUGGCAGUACUUGUUGUCUCAGUGAUUGGCUUUCUGUGUGGUGAGCAAUCAGACCUAAGCUGAAUCCCUGGCAUUCACCAACACAUAAAUGUGCAGUUCUGUUUCUGGACUCUCUCUUCUGCUUCAUUGAUCUGUUUUUCUAACUUUAUGCCAAAAUUGCACUAGUUUGAUUACUGUUCCUUUAUAAUAAGCUUUGAAAUAAUGUCAUAUUAGGCCUCCAACUUUGUUCUUCUUUUUGAAAACUGUUUUGGCUAUUUUAGGUCCUUGCAUUUCCAUAAAAGUAUUAGAAUCAGCUUAUCAAUUUCUCCAAAAAAAAAAAAAAAAGCCUACUGAGAUUUUGAUUGGGAUUGCACUGGAUUUAUAGACCAUUUUGGGGAGAACUGACAUCUUAACAAUAUUGAGUCUUCCUCCCAUGAACAAAGUAUAUUUCUUUAUUUGUUUAGGUCUUCUUUAAUUUUUCUCAACGAUGUUGUAUGGUUUUCAGUAUAUAGAUCUUUCAGAGUUUUGUCAGAUUAAUUCUUAAGUAUUUAAUAUUUUUGACCUAAUUGUAAAAGGUAUUAUUUCUUUCCGUUUCAAUUGCCAAUGGGUUAUUGCUAAUAUAUAGAAAUGCAAUUGAUUUUGCCUAUAACUUUGCUAAUAGUUCUAGUAGCUUUUUCAUGUGAAUUCCAUUGGCUAGUCUACAUAGCUCACUGACGCUCUGUUCAUUAAAAGAAUUUUUUCCCUCUGAGUUUCCUUUUAGGUAGCGUCUUUUGCUAUGAUUUCAAUUUCACUUUUUUCCCCUUCUUCAAUAGCUAAUCUGCUACUAAUCCUAUAGUGUUUUUUUCAUCUCAAUAUUGAACUUUCCAUCUGUAGAUGAUUUGAGUCUUUUCUAAAUCUUCCAUGUCUCUAUUUGACCUUUUAAACAUAUAGAAUACAGCUAUAGUAACUGUUUUAAUGUCCUUUUCUGUUUAUUCUACUGUCUGUGUCAGUUCUGGUUUGAUUUCAGUUUAUUGAUUAUUCUCUUCAUUAUGGCUAGUGUUUACCUCCUUCUUUUCAUGAUGAGUAAUUUUUUAUUUGAUGCCAGCCACUAUAAUUUUAUCUUGUUGGGUCUUGGGUUCUUUGCAAUCUUAUAAGUGUUCUUCAGCUUUGUUCUGCAAUACAGUUAAGAUACUUGGCAACACUUGAAUACUUAAAGUCUUGCUUUUAAGAUUUUUUAGGUGGUACUACAGCAGUGCUCAGUUUAGGCAUAAUUAUUCCCCACUACUAAGUUAAGACCCUUCUGUGUACUCUAUUUAUUGCUUCAUGAAUCAUGGUCUUAAAUGUGGCUGGUAAGAAUAGGUACUAUUUCUAGCUGUGUCCGAGUAUCAGACAUUGUUUCUUCUAAUCCACUCAGGUGGUUCUUUUGGCCUUGGGUAAUUUUCUGUCAUGCAUGCACAAAUCAAUACUCAGAAGAAUACUUAAGGAGGUCCCUCUGCAAAACCCUAGAACUCUGUGUGCACAAAUCUCUCCUCUCUGGGAACCUGCUUGUGAGUUCUCACUGCUGUGGUUUUUCCAACCUUCAACUCUGUCUCCCCAACUCAGGGAGGCCUUGGGGCUCCACCAGGGUUCCCUCUCCCUAUAUCUUAGCCUCAAAACUCUUUCACAGUAGUAAAUUUUGGCCACUGUAUGGAUGACAUUAUUUAUGUCUCAUCUCUUAAGUAUCAAAGUAUCAUUAUCCUUAAUUGCCUGGUGUCCAGUACCUUAAAAUUGCUAUUUAAUAUAUUUUGCUUUUUUUUUUUUUUCAGGGAGGAGGGUAAAUCCAAUCCAUCUUGAAUGAGCAUAUGUAUUAGUUUUUAUGCUCCUGAUAAAGACAUAGCUGAGGCUGAGCAAUUUACAAAAGAAAGAGGUUUAAUAGACUUAUAGUUCCUUAUGGCUGGGGAGGCCUCACAAUCAUGGCGGAAGGCAAGAAGGAGCAGGUCACAUCUUACGUGGAUGGCAGUAGGCAAAGAGUUUGUGCAGAGAAACUCACAUUUUAAAACCAUCAGAUCUCCUGAGACCCACGAGAACAGCACAAGAAACAGCACGGGAAAGACGUGCCCCCAUGAUUCAACCAUCUCCCACUGGGUCCCUCCAACAACAUGUGGGAAUUAUGGGAGCUACAAGAUGAGAUUUCGGUGGGGACACAGAGCCAAACCAUAUCAGGGUAGAAUGGUAUUAAAGAAAAAGAUUUUCUUACACUUAUUAAGGCAGUAAGAAAGAUUUAUUCAAGAUUAUUGCAAUAGGUAUCAAGACUGUGCAAUAGGAGACAGGAAAUGGUUGAGCUCAACUCUGAAUACAGCAAAAACCACUGGAGGUUUUUAGCCAGUGAGCAGAAUGGGAGGAGAAGAGUCAGUGGAUGGAAAAUUACUAAGAGGAGAAAUCAAAGGUGGGAGGAUUUUCCCUAAACUGACUUAGCAGGACUCUUGUUACAAUUGGACUAGGCAGGCUGAAGACAGGAUGCAAGGACAAAGCUUGUUGAAAAGAGGCCUCAGAGGAGCUCAUCUAAAAUUUGGUCAAGGGGAGGGUCUUUCUUGGUCCCUCCUCUUGUUCAAGGGAAAAAGAGACAUUCUUCUUUCCUUUGAACAAUAUAAGUCAAUUUCUCAUUUGGUGGCCUUUUUUUCAUUAAGGACAAGCUGAGCCCCCUGCUGAAACUUGGUAGCAGGGCAGCCAGUUGAGAAGAUUUCUAGAUGUCAAGGCAUCUUUAGAUGAUGGGGUGAGGACUGCAGUGGCCAUCCCAGAUCAUGGAUUUUCUGGUUUGCAGUUUGAAUGUCCUUGGUGAUGGCAUAGACAUCAGUGUCACAGUCAUGGUUAUUUUUCCGAGCAGAGUGUAGAAGUGUCCAACUUCAUCUUGAAGGGCUUCUUUAGACAGUCACAAUAAAGAUCUGGGAAGUUAGGUUUUAGUUCUCAGUGAUGCCAAAUCAGGACAGUGGGAGAAAAAUUAAAAACCUCAGUUUGGAGAGUGGUAGCCAGAUAGUAAAGGGAACUAGAAGAACUGAGAAUUUGGUAAGGACUGACAAGCUGUGCAUGAUGACAGGAUCCCGUUCAAUUUACAAGUAGAUAACAAAACCUGAAAGACAAGUACAGGACCAGAAUAAUAACCCAUAAGAAGGUGCUAUAGUUUUUAUAAAAUAUCUUUCUACAGUCAUCCCCCUUUUUUGAUCCAAAUUAACCAAAGUAAGAUUAUUCUUGUUUACAAAAUAAGUCUUGUCUCAUUAUAUUUGACUUACUUAUUUGCAUAAUUGCAGCAAGAAUGGCAACUGACCAGGUAGGCUUAUUUAAGUUUGCAUUGCUGGAACUUUUUACAAGUAAUCUCAGAUUAUGCUUUCAAGAGUUCUUGAAGCUAUAAAGCCAAGUCAAGCACCACCAGGCCUUAUCUGCAAUGCCUAGAGAUUCAGAUGGGUUCUUCUCUUCUUGAGGUCCUAAAAACAUCCUGAGUUUCUUUGGCCUGCCAGAAAGUCACCUUCCUGACUCACCUGUAAGGCUGGGAACUCCAUAAUCCAGGUACCAGGCAGACUUUCCGGGAGGGCUUCAUAUGCAUUGGCUCCAUAAAGUUAACCUUAGUUCCUCAAAACUGUCUGUUCAUAUGUGAUUUUAUGUCUUAUUCUCAGUUGGAAAUGCAGAAAUCACCUGUCUUCUGCGUCGAUCAGGCUGGGAGCUGCAGACCGGAGCUGUUCCUAUUCGGCCAUCUUGGAAUGGACCCCCAUGUCUUAUUCUCAAAUAAAACAUUUUGGUCAAAGCCUUGAUUAUCUAAUCAAUUUUUAAAAUUAUGUUCUGUUACAAAAAGGACAGAUUCUUAUCGAACCCAUAUAAAAUAGUAUAUCACCAUUGAUACGGUUUGGAUCUGUGUCCCCACUCAAAUCUGAUGUUCAAUUGUAAUCUCCCAGUGUUAGAGGUGAGGCCUAGGGGGAGGUGAUUGGAUCAUGGGGACAUUUUCUCAUGAAUGUUUUAGCACUGUCCCCUUGGUGCUGCUCUUGUGCUGGUCAGUGAGUUAUCGUGAGAUAUGGUUGUUUAAAAGUGUGUAGCAGCUGGACAUGGUGGCUCACACCUGUAAUCCCAGCAUUUUGGGAGGCCAAGGUGGGCAGAUCACCUGAGGUCGGGAGUUCGAGACUAGCCUGACCAACAUGGAGAAACCCCAUCUCCACUAAAAAUACAAAGUUAGCUGGGUGUGGUGGCGGGCGCCUGUAGUCCCAGUUACUCGGGAGGCUGAGGCCGGAGAAUCGCUUGAACCCGGGAGGCCGAGGUUGCCGUGAGCCGAGAUCGUGCCACUGCAUUCCAGCCUGGGUAACAAGAGUGAAACUCCGUCUCAAAAAAAAAAAAAGAAAGUGUGUAGCACCUUCCCACUCUCUCUUUCUUCCUUCUGCUCUGAGUAUGUGAUGCGCCUCACUCUCCUUUUGCCUUCCACAUGACCGGAAGUUUCCUGAGGUCUCCGGAGAAGCAGAAGCUGCCACGCUUCCUGUGCAGCCUGCAGAGCCGUGAGCCAAUUAAACCUCUUUUCUUUAUAAAUUACCCAGUCUCAGGUAUUUCUUUAUGGCAAAGUGUGAACAGACUAAUACAACCAUGAACAUAAAAAUACUCAGUAAUAGUUUCUGAAUUAUGGAAGGAUUAGGAAAAAAGAUAAAUGUUCCAUUUUUGUUAUAGAAAUGUAUCUACUAAAUUGUUACAUAUUAUAGCUAACUUAAGAGAAAAAGAAAAGGGGUUCCUUAUGUCCAGAAAAUAGAACAUUAAGAACAAGCAAUGUUCCAAACAAAAAGCCAUAAAAAUUAUACUCCUUCUUUAGUUGAUUCAGUCCUAUGUAAUUAAUUCUUGUUUUGCUUGAUCAUGGGUUAGCAGUUUCAUGAACUCAACUAGAGUUUCGAAAACCCUCACUCAGUCCAGCAGUAUGAUAUUCAAGUUUUUUAGGCCAUGUCAGUAUCAGAUGGGGGCUGGGGAGGUUGAUGGGUAGAAAAUUAUUAAGAGAAGUAAUUACCAAGAAAAAUAUCAAGGGGAGGGGAAUUCUUGCUAAACUGACUUUAACAGGAUUCUUGCUGAAGGCAGACCAGUGUGGUCAGAGGUCAAGGUUGAGGGACUCUCACUAAAUUGGCUUAGCAGGAUCCCUGCUAAAACUGGACUAGGCAGGCUGAAGCCUGGGUCCAGGGAUGAGUCCUGUUAAAAAGAGGGCUGAGAGGGGCCUUCUAAAGUUUGGUCACUGAGACUGUCUUUGUCAAGGGCCCUUCCUAUGUAGUAUUUAUGACGGUAUUUUGUCUGGCAUUAAUAGAGUUAAUAUUGUGUGCCUUUCACAGCAAAUCAAAAAAUAUCAGAGCAUUUAAGAGUAUCAAGAUAUCAUGUUGACCUUGGAACUGAUAGCUUGAAGCAAAAAAAUAAAAAAAUUGCUGCUUAAUUCCUCUGAUAAGCUCUUGAAAUAACUGAACUCUAACCCUGGUAACCGUCACCUACUUCACAAGGUUGAUGGAAGGCACAGGUAAGAAGAGAAAGCCAUAACUGUUUGAAGAUGGGCAGAUUCUGACCAAGACUCCAGACUGUAAGGCCAGGAAAGAGAGAGGGCUUUCCUAAGUCUUGAGCCCAGGUGUAUGCCUGGAUCCCCAGUCUGGGCUCUGGCAAGAGACAAUCAAAGAUCCCAGCAAAAAUAUUACACUGUUCCAAUUCAUGGUUAAAAAUGUUGGCAUAGGUAGUGGUAUUUAUCUCUGGGUUUUUAAUUGACAACCAGGAGCAGCGAGUUAAUAUUGAAGAGCCCUAUUCAGGAAUGAAUAUACACACUCCAGGGGUGGUCUGUUGGAAUUUGAAAGACUAUUAAGAGGCUCCUCCUUUGGGAGGCCGAGGCAGGCAGAUCAGGAGGUCAGGAGAUCGAGACCAUCCUGGCUAACAUGGUGAAAACCCAUCUCUACUAAAAAUACAAAGAAUUAGCUUGGUGUGGUGGCACACGCCUGUAUUCCCAGCUACUCGGGAGACUGAGGCAGGAGAAUCGCUUGAACCUGGGAGGUGGAGGUUGCAGUGAGCCGAGAUCAUAUCACUGCACUCCAGCCUGGGCGACAGAGCUGGACUCGGUCUCAAAAAAAAAAAAAAAAAAAGAAGAAGCAGCUCCUGCUCUAGAGAGUCAGCUAUAAGAACUUCCUCUAUCCUCAAUGAACACCAACAGCUUUGCUAUCUGGCAUAAUGGAUUUUAGGAGUCAUUUUCAUUGGUGAAGUAAGAGUUGUUCAAAAUAUUAUGGGCUGACUGGAAGCACUGUAUCAGAUUGCAUCUCCUUGCAUAAACAGGGUAUUAUGACCUAGAAAGCCUAGUGGAUAAUGUAUGCCCUUCCAAAUGCUGUCUCUGGUUUGGGAUUUGAAUCAGGACUUGUAUCCACAGCUCAUAGAAAGGUUCCUGCACCUGACCCUGACUAGACAUGAAGCUAAAUCAUGCUGUUCGAGUACUGUCACAUCUGCCUUAAGUGAAUCUGUUAUGUAAGGCACCUGUCAGUGUGCCAGCAGAACAAAGCACCAGUACUUGGUUGAGUUUACAGAACUGGUUGUACCACGUUUUUGAGCCUGCUGGCUUCUAAAUGUUUAUUUUAUGGCCGAAUUCCGUCUGAGACUUGCUUUCAUUGUAACAUACCACCUGGUAUGAAGCUGAGGAGACCUAUAGCCCUCACCUACAUCUAUUAUGGGCCCACAUACAUGUGUUUGUGUUUCUUAGCUUAGGGAGGUUUCAGAAGCCCCGAGGCUGGAGUAAAGCAUGGUUACGGACUCUUGUUGUAGCAGAAAUGUUGCUUACUGUCUUUCUAUGACCCUUUGUAUUUCUGUGUAUUGGUUCUUCACCACUAAUAAUAAACCGCCUCAGUUCUUUUCUUAGAAGGACGUUGAACACUAACUAUACGGCAUUGAGCUAGGGAUGAAUUAAAGGGGAGCUCCCUGGAACUCCAGGAACUGUUUUCAAAAUGUGCCUGUUUGUGUUUAUAUGGUAACGUUUGGCUGAAUCCAUUUCACCUUCUGAGUAACACUUAAGGCAAAGCUGAAAUUCUUGCUGUCAACAAAACCCCCAAGACUACAAUUUCUACCCAGCCUCUUUCAAAAAGCAUGGAAAACCUCCUCCAUUCCAGCUUAUUUUUGCAUUGAGGCUGGUAUUUCAUUUGUUUGUUCUUUCGCUUUCUUUAAGCACCACUGCCCAGCAGUGUGGCGUGAGUACUGCUUGCUUUCUGCUCCCAGUCUCACUUUUUUUUUUUUUUUUUUUUGAGACAGAGUUUUGCUUUGUCACCCAGGCUAGAGUGCAGUGGUGUGAUCUUGGCUCACUGCAGCCUCCACCUCCUGGGUUCAAGUGAUUCUCCUGCCUCAGCCUCCUGAGUAGCAGGGAUUACAGGUGUGCACCACCACACCCAGCUAAUUUUUGCAUUUUUUGUAGAGAUGAGGUUUCACCAUGUUGGUCAAGCUGGCCUCAAACUCCUGACUUCAGGUGAUCUGCCUGCCUCAGCCUCCCAAAGUGUUGGGAUUAUGGGCGUGAGCCACCUCGCCUGGCCCCAGUCUCUCAUCUUUGUACCACACAUAUAACUUUGGUUUUGUAAGUAAGAAAAUGCUUACUCCUUGCUGUUGACUACACUGUGAGAUUCCUUUUGAGAACCCCACAAAUAAAGUCAAUACAACCAUCAGGAAUCCUUAGACUCAUUAAAAUUCCAGACCCUGUAAAAACAAUAUUUCCUGUUGAAUCUCAACAUGAACAAAGAGUGAUCAACUGAGAGUCAAACGUGACUGUGGGAUGAGUGAGUUUGGACAUUAACCACAUGAUGUGUAGAGGAGGCACAUCUCUUGUUGACACUCGCUUGUCCAUGUGACACUUCUGCUUUCCUGACACGCACUCAUGGAUACCACGAGUGUGUGUGUCAUGGGAAGUGCACGCCACCGAGCGGGCGCGGGGGCUGACCGGGCUGGGUCACUGCAGUGAAAAGUCAUGUGGAAAAAGCUACCAUUCAUUUAAUUGUUUUCACUUCUCACCUUGAACUCAGCUUUGUGACCACUCUGUGAAAACAAAACCAACACAGGUAUCCUGCCACAGAAUCGCCAUGUGUUAAAAGAUUCCACAGAGGUGUGACUGGACAGCAAACAGCGUUUUUCAGAGAGCUCCCUGUUAGUGGCAAAAUGAACAUUCCCUUAGGAGGGCAGAUCCCUUUUCUCAAAAGGCCAGAGGAUGGGGAUGCGGAAGGGGGUUGACUGUCUGAUUGGGAUUUAUGCCAGUGGAAUGCAGCCAAGUUGUGCUUAUAAAGGCCUUAUUCUUCCUCAGGUCAGAGCAGUACUACUGGGAGAGCCAAGGCGCUUCUCUGGAUGCACUCAACUACAGGGAUCUUUCUUUUGUACAUGCUUGAAUAUUUACCAUUAGGUUUGAUGUAGUGGAAAGACUCCUGGAUUUGGAAUCGGAAACUCUGAACGAGAAGACACUUAUUUUGUCACGGGGACAUGAGACAUCAAUCAACAUAUGUAAAAUGACUAUUGGUUCAAUUCGGAAAGGCGGGACAACUCGGAGCAGGCAGGGGGCUUCCAGGUCACAGGUAGGUGUGAGACAAACGGUUCCAUUCUUUUGAGUUUCGGAUUAGCCUUUCCAAAGGAAGCAAUCAGAUCUGCAUUUAUCUCAGUGAGCAGAGGGAUGACUUUGAAUAGAAUGGGAGGGAGGUUUGCCCUAAGCAGUUCCCAGCUUGAAUUUUCCUUUAGCUUAGUGAUUUUGACGGCCCAGGAUAUUUUCCUUUCACACCUUCAGCUGAUUAGAUGGGGCCCACCACAUGGGGAAGGGCAAUCUGCUUUGCUCCAAGUCCCUCAUUUUAAAGGUUAAUCUCAUCCAAAAGACCCUCACAGAAACGUCCAGAUUCAUGUUAAGCCACAUAUCGGCACACUGGCCCAGCCAAGUGGACAGAAAAUUAACCAUCAGCAUUUUCUGGUAGGAAAUUUCACACUCACUUCUUUUUAUCACAUUAAGGUUCUUCUCAACGUAGGUUAGUUGGUGACCUUGAGUCAAGUUCAAGCCAUGCAUGUUAACCUGGAGCAAAAGCCCCCCCUCCCCAUCUUACGUGAAAUGUGUAAUCACCAAUUUCAGGUCUUUGUUUACAGAUAAAAUUUCUAAGGGAUUUUCUGUCUCUGGAAACUUAAAAGGCCAACCUGAUGUGGGUGUUUUUUCAUUUGUUUUGUUUUGUUUUGUUUUUGAGCGGAGUCUCGCUUUGUUGCCCAGGCUGGAGUGCAGUGGUGCGAUCUCGGCUCACUGCAAGCUCCGCUUUCCAGGUUCACGCCAUUCUCCUGCCUCAGCCUCCCGAGUAGAUGGGACUACAAGCACCCGCCACCAAGCCCAGCUAAUUUUUUUUUUGUAUUUUUAGUAGAGACAGGGUUUCGCCAUGUUAGCCAGGAUGGUCUCGAUCUCCUGAUUUCAUGAUCUGCCCACCUCGGCCUCCCAAAGUGCUGGGAUUACAGGUGUGAGUGGGUGUUUUUAAAGAGUAGAGACAUUCUCAAAGGAUCCUGUCUCUGGAGCCAGCUUUAGGGACCUCUUGGUUAGUUCUGGAAGACAAUCUAAUACAAGGAAGUGGAAGAGAAGAGAAGAGAGAUUAGGUUUUUAUAUUUAAGCAAAGCCACUUUAUUCUUACUUUCUGAAAUGAGAGAAAAGGGAAAUGUAGAUAGAUUGAUCAUGGGCCAGUACAUUGAUAGCAUGUAUAAUUAAGUUUUCCUAAAGUUGCAGUUAUAUUUUAGCCUGCUUUAGAUGGCAGUUUUGCUUUCAAGAUAUUUAAUUUUUUUUUAUUAAAACCAAAAGCAAAGGCUUUAAGAAAACUAAUUUCCCAGAAUGUGUUUCUGUGAUUCUGGAAGCUUUUCCUGGUGGGGCUGAGAUCGGAAGCAGAGCCGUCAGGCCAGCAGAAUGGGGGGGAGGGGCCGUGGAGAUGGAGGAGAUGGGCUUGUGAGUGCUCUGGGAUGGAAAAGCCGUGGGAACACAGUCUAGUCUGUCCUUUCAGCCAAAGACCCCCAGGCGGAACUCUAUGGCUCAAGGUGUUCCAAGUCGUCAUUUAUUUUCAUAUUUGUACUUUUUAUUGUGAUGAAAUAGACAUAAAAUUUGCCAUUUGAACCACUUUUAGGAGGCCGGUACACUGGCAUUGAUUACAUUCACAAUGCUGUGCAACCAUUGCCACCAUCUAUUUCCAAAAAUGUUUUCAUUAUUUUCAUCAUCCCAAACAGAAGCUCCAUAUCCAGUAAACAGCAGCUCUCUCUCCCCUCAGUCCCUGGUAACGUCUCUUCAACCUUCUGCCUCUAUGAAGUUGCCAAUUCUAGGUUCCUUGUAUGAGCAGAAUCAUUCAGUGUUUCUUUUUUGGGUCUGGCUUCUUUCGCUUAGCAGCAUGUUUCCAAUCAAUGUUCAUCCAUGUCGUAGCCUGUGUCAGAACUUCAUUCCUUUUUUUGCUUGUUUGUUUUUUGUUUUUUGAGAUGGAGUCUUGCUCUGUCACCAAGCUGGAGUGCAGUGAUGCUAUCUCGGCUCACUGCAACCUCGGCCUCCUGGGUUCAAGCGAUUCUCCUGCCUCAGCCUCCUGAGUAGCUGGGACUACAGGUGCGUGCCACCACGCCCAGCUAAAUUUUGUAUUUUUAGUAGAGGUGGGGUUUCACCAUGUUGGCCAGGAUAGUCUCAAUCUCUUGACCUCAGGAUCCUCCCACCUCGGGCUCCCAAAGUGCUGGGAUUACAGGUGUGAGCCACUGCGCCCAGCCCUUCAUUCCUUUUUAUGGCUGAAUAAUAUCCCAUUGUAGGGAUACAUUUGUUUAUGCAUUUCUUUCUUUCUUUUUUUUUUUUUUUGGUUAGACAGAGUCUCGCUCUAUUGCCCAGGCUGGAGUGCAGUGGCAUGAUCUCAGCUCACUGCAACCUCCACCUCCCGGGUUCAAGCGAUUCUCUUGCCUCAGCCUCCCAAGUAGCUGGGAUUACAGGCACCUACCACCACACCUGGCUAAUUUUUGUGUUUUUAGUAGAGACGGGGUUUCACCAUGUUGGCCAGGCUGGUCUUGAACUCCUGACCUUGUGACUCACCUGUCUUGGCCUCCCAAAGUGCUGGGAUUACAGGCAUGAGCUGCCAUGACUGGCCUGCAUUUAUUUUUUGAUCCGACAUUUUAUUUGAGAAAAU